CAGAAAUUCAACCGUUAGAGGCAAAAAUGAAAUGGCCAUUCAUGUCUCAGAAGGCAAAGGAACUCCAUAUUGAACGAGACAGACUGCUUUGUGAGACAUCUAACCUCCUUUACACGCCACGCAACUACCCUCAAACAGAAGAAAAAGAAAAUCCAC
rnacentral:lncRNA from 1 species